rnacentral:rRNA from 1 species
UACGAAGGGGGCUAGCGUUGCUCGGAAUCACUGGGCGUAAAGGGUGCGUAGGCGGGUCUUUAAGUCAGGGGUGAAAUCCUGGAGCUCAACUCCAGAACUGCCUUUGAUACUGAAGAUCUUGAGUCCGGGAGAGGUGAGUGGAACUGCGAGUGUAGAGGUGAAAUUCGUAGAUAUUCGGAAGAACACCAGUGGCGAAGGCGGCUUACUGGUCCGGUACUGACGCUGAGGCGCGAAAGCGUGGGGAGCAAACAGG